rnacentral:rRNA from 1 species
UACGUAGGGGCCGAGCGUUGUCCGGAGUUACUGGGCGUAAAGAGCGCGCAGGCGGUCGUAUAAGUCGAAUGUGAAAGCCCCCGGCUCAACUGGGGAGGGUCAUUCGAUACUGUUCGACUCGAAGGCAGGAGAGGGAAGUGGAAUUCCGGGUGUAGUGGUGAAAUGCGUAGAUAUCCGGAGGAACACCAGUGGCGAAGGCGACUUUCUGGCCUGUUCUUGACGCUGAGGCGCGAAAGCUAGGGGAGCAAACGGG